GACAGAGGGUGCAAACGUUGUUCGGAAUUACUGGGCGUAAAGCGCGUGUAGGCGGCCAUCUAAGUCGGGCGUGAAAUCCCACGGCUCAACCCGUGGAAGUGCACUCGAAACUGGAUGGCUAGAGUCCUGGAGAGGAAGGUGGAAUGCUUGGUGUAGAGGUGAAAUUCGUGAGAUAUCAAGCGGAACACCGGUGGCGAAGGCGGCCUUCUGGGACAGUGACUGACGCUGAGACGGCGAAAGCGUGGGGAGCAAAC
rnacentral:rRNA from 1 species